UACAGAGGUGGCAAGCGUUGUUCGGAAUUACUGGGCGUAAAGGGCGCGUAGGCGGUCUUGCAAGUCCUGUGUGAAAUCCCUCGGCUCAACUGAGGAACUGCACAGGAAACUGCUUGGCUUGAGUUCGGGAGAGGGAAACGGAAUUCCGGGUGUAGCGGUGAAAUGCGUAGAUAUCCGGAGGAACACCGGUGGCGAAGGCGGCUUCCUGGACCGACACUGACGCUGAGGCGCGAAAGCUAGGGGAGCAAACGGG
rnacentral:rRNA from 1 species